GGAUGCAUUACUGGGCAAAUACUCUUCUAGCAGUAAAAUGUGAUUGCGUAGCCUGAUGCUAGAACUACGUUCACUGCUGCCAAAGGAGAUUUGCCCCGCAAUGUUGUU
rfam:Daucus carota subsp. sativus cultivar DH1 chromosome 2, whole genome shotgun sequence.